GACGAACGCUGGCGGCGUGCCUAAUACAUGCAAGUCGAACGCAGUGGGGACGGGUGAGUAACAAGUGGGUAACCUCCCAUCAGAGGGGAUAACACUUGGAAACAGGUGCUAAACCGAUACUGAUGGAUGGACCUGCGGUGCAUUAGCUAGUUGGUGAGGUAACGGCGAACCAAGGCUACGAUGCAUAGCCGACAUGAGAGGGGGAUCGGCCACACUGGGACUGAGACACGGCCCAGCCUCCUACGGGAGGCAGCAGUAGGGAAUCUUCGGCAAUGGACGAAAGUCUGACCGAGCAACGCCGCGUGAGUGAAGAAGGUUUUCGGAUCGUAAAACUCUUUUAUUAGAGAAGCGGUAUCUAACCAGAAAGCCACGGCUAACUACGUGCCAGCAGCCGCGGUAAUUC
rnacentral:rRNA from 1 species